GCCGGCAGCUAGCUCACUGCCACUCUCAAAUUGGCCGCCCAAUGAUGCUAAUCAGGGCUGCACCUGGUCAGUACCUGCAUGGGAGACCACAUGGGAAAACUAGGUAGCUGCCGGAA
ensembl:rRNA 5S_rRNA 5S ribosomal RNA